rnacentral:misc_RNA from 1 species
GCUCCUCUUUCUCUUGAUAUUAGGAAAACGCAAUCCACUAGAAUCAGUAAUUGUGUCAUUGUCAGAUUCCAAGACUUUGGCAAAUCCCUCCACUCUGUCAUUCUCAGUCUCAGGCACCACAUUUGUUUCAUUUAAGUGAGGCUGUGAAUCCACAAUGUCAACUGAAGCUAAAGCAGAACUCUUUUCAGGUUCAGAGGAUGCAGGCAGACCAUGGGCAACGCCAUAUGCUGUCACAGAUCCAUCACACUUCGUAGUUGGCUGUGAACUUGAAGAACUCA